rnacentral:rRNA from 1 species
CGCUGGCGGCGUGCCUAACACAUGCAAGUCGAGCGAGGAGAUCCUUCGGGAUGAUCCUAGCGGCGGACGGGUGAGUAACACGUGGGCAACCUGCCUCAUAGAGAGGAAUAGCCUUCCGAAAGGGAGAUUAAUACCUCAUAACAUUGCAGUUUCGCAUGGAACAGCAAUUAAAGGAGUAAUCCGCUAUGAGAUGGGCCCGCGGCGCAUUAGCUAGUUGGUGAGGUAACGGCUCACCAAGGCGACGAUGCGUAGCCGACCUGAGAGGGUGAUCGGCCACAUUGGGACUGAGACACGGCCCAGACUCCUACGGGAGGCAGCAGUGGGGAAUAUUGCACAAUGGGGGAAACCCUGAUGCAAGCAACGCCGCGUGAGUGAUGACGGCCUUCGGGUUGUAAAGCUCUGUCUUCAGGGACGAUAAUGACGGUACCUGAGGAGGAAGCCACGGCUAACUACGUGCCAGCAGCCGC